rnacentral:lncRNA from 15 species
UCUCAUUCACUUUACGGAGAGUCAUUAAGAUGAUAGGGGGGGAACUGAUGUUUGAUUAAUUAGUAAAACUAACUUUGGCAAGACCGGAAACUGAAACAGAGGAUUUCAUUAGCUUGUGCUUGUUAGAUAAGGUUAAUGAGGUGGUUCCGAUUCUUGAAAAAAAAGGAGAGAAAAAAAGAACAUUCAUGCUGCUGAAUUCAUUUCGGACACCGCAAUGCCAAAAGGAGAGUUCAAAAAGAGAAAUCAACAUCUGCACUGCUGGAGGACACCAGGGAUGCUCUCUCACACUGAGGACUUCAACCUAGAUUACAGAGGUUAUUCCUUCGUGCACAUGCCAGAGACACAGAAAGGAAGACAGUGGCAGAAACAAUAAGAUGAGACCAUUUAAUGAUGGUAACCUUUAAGGAGAAAAGCACAAGCCAGCCUGAGGUGGUGAAAUCUCUUUUAAGCAUCACCACAAGUUCACUGCAGGCAAACCUCAAUGAAAGAAACUCAGUGUAAGGUCAGAUACUCAACAUUUUUCUGACUGCUACAUGGGGACAACACCAUCCAUCAAUGAAGAGGAGACAAAUAAAAGGAUUGUUUCUGGUCCCUGAGAACAGUUGAACAUCCAGCUAAUUAUCCAACAGGAUUGUCUCAGCUUUACUGAAACCACAGCGGUAUCACCUUUCUC